ACAUCCAGAGAAUUUAGCAGAGAUGCUUUAGUGCCUUCGGGAACUCUGAGACAGGUGCUGCAUGGCUGUCGUCAGCUCGUGUUGUGAAAUGUUGGGUUAAAUCCCGCAACGAGCGCAACCCCUAUCCUUUGUUGCCAGCGAUUCGGUCGGGAACUCAAAGGAGACUGCCGGUGAUAAACCGGAGGAAGGUGGGGAUGACGUCAAGUCAUCAUGGCCCUUACGAGUAGGGCUACACACGUGCUACAAUGGCGCAUACAAAGAGAAGCGACCUCGCGAGAGCAAGCGGACCUCAUAAAGUGCGUCGUAGUCCGGAUUGGAGUCUGCAACUCGACUCCAUGAAGUCGGAAUCGCUAGUAAUCGUAGAUCAGAAUGCUACGGUGAAUACGUUCCCGGGCCUUGUACACACCGCCCGUCACACCAUGGGAGUGGGUUGCAAAAGAAGUAGAUAGCUUAACCUUCGGGAGGGCGUUUACCACUUUGUGAUUCAUGACUGGGGUGAAGUCGUAACAAGGUAGGCGUACGUGU
rnacentral:rRNA from 1 species